rnacentral:rRNA from 1 species
CCUACGGGGGGCAGCAGUAAGGAAUAUUGGUCAAUGGGCGAGAGCCUGAACCAGCCACGCCGCGUGCAGGAAGAAGGCCUAUGGGUUGUAAACUGCUUUUACACGGGAAGCGGUACCGUGGGAAUAAGCAUCGGCUAACUCCGUGCCAGCAGCCGCGGUAAUACGGAGGAUGCAAGCGUUAUCCGGAUUCAUUGGGUUUAAAGGGUGCGUAGGCGGACUUAUAAGUCAGGGGUGAAAUCCGGCAGCUCAACUGUCGAACUGCCUCUGAUACUGUGGGUCUUGAGUUAAGUUGAGGCAGGCGGAAUAUGACAUGUAGCGGUGAAAUGCAUAGAUAUGUCAUAGAACACCGAUAGCGAAGGCAGCCUGCCAAACUAACUGACGCUGAUGCACGAAAGCGUGGGUAGCGAACAGGAUUAGAUACCCUUGUAGUC